CUUUUGAAGCUCCGAAGUUCAUAUGUUCUUCUUUUAAGAUCUUUUGUCCUUGACAUGAGGUAGUCAACAUUUCUCUUGAAUUGAAUUCAAUCGGUCAACACAGGUCGUUACUCUUGAUAAGGGGGUUUUUGUUCGAGUGGGUCGCACUGCCUUUAUUCUAUAUAAUAAGAAACAAAGGGGUGCCCCAAUUAUAGGUUGAUACUCAUGAAGGGUAUUCUACAGUUACGAGGCGGCUAGAAUAUCCAGGGCACAAACUUCAAAUUCCCAACGUGAUUGACAUAUUCAAAACAUAUUUAGACUAUGAUUAAGAUAAAACCACUUGUCUAGGGGGAUUAACGUGACGUUAAUUUCAUGCCCCAGCAUAUCAGAGUCCAUCCAGAUAGUGGAUUUAUUUAUAUCGUUCUCACAUUCAGUGGAAUUUAUAGCAUGAUUGAAAUUA